rnacentral:rRNA from 1 species
GUGUCGGCGCGCGCGGUAAGAACAAAGGUGCAUUCGUUGUUCGGAGUUACCGGGCGUUAACCACGCGCUCGCGGUUUAUUAACCCCAAUUUGAAAUCUCGGGGCUCAACCCCAAAACUACCUCUGGAAAUGGCAAUCUCGAGUUAUGGAUGGGAAAUGGGAAUUUCCCUGGUACGGGUAAAAUCCCUAGACAUGCCAAGGAACGCCGACACCCAAAGGGGCUCUCCUGCCUUCAACUGACCCUUAGGCGCCCAAUCAUGGGGAGCAAACAAGAUUAGAUACCCUGGUGCUCCACGCCCUAAACCAAUAAUACUAGGUAUUGGGAGUUUGAACCUCUCCUGGCCCAAGCUAUGCAUUAAGUACUCCCCCUGGGAAGUACCGGCGCAAGAAUAAAACUUGAAGGAAUUGACGGGGGCCCGCACAAGCGGUGGAUUAUGUGGUUUAAUUCAAAACAACGCGCAAAACCUUACCUGGGCUUGAAAUCCCCAAAAGAUUUACCAAAAUUGAUUGUGCUCUUCCGAAAACUCCGUGACGGGCGCUGCAUGGCUGUCGUCAGCUCGUGUCGUGAGAUGUUGGGUUAAAUCUUCGCAACGAGCGCAACCCCUAUCUUUAGGUGCCAGCAUUAAUUUGGGCCCUCCACAGAGACUGCCUGGGUUAACCAGGAGGAAGGUGGGGAUGACUCUCCUUCCUCAUGGCCCCUUAUCUCUACGCUACACACCUAACAUAUGGUGCACAACUCUGGACUCCAACUUCUGACUUACAGAUCCUCCAAAGUGCAUGUCAUUACCCAUUGGAGUCCGCAACUCGACUCCAUGAAGUUGUGAUCGCUCUUAAUCCCAGAUAAACACGAUCCAGGUGAAGAACUCCCGGGUCAUGCCGACGCCUGCUCGUCCAAUCCAUAUGACUAG